AUGAAAACAGUACAGAUGGAUAGAUUGGAUUUACUGUCACUUGUUACUAUGGAAGAUAAUCCUUUGAGGGGCUUGUUCAGGGUAUCUUCACCCCUGCCAGUAGAGCAAAGAGUUGCUCCUCAACCUAUUGAACCUACUGAAAAUGUUUACUUUGAAAUUCCUUCGGGUAUGAUAGAGAAACUGCUAGCUAAUCCUUUUGCAGGAGAUGGAACAUUGCAUCCCGAUUUACACUUAACCUAUGUGGAUGAAGUUUGUGAAUUAUUUAAGCUUGCAGGUAUGCCCGAUGAUGUUAUCAAGAAGAAGGUCUUCCCUUUAUCUUUGAAGGGAGAUGCAGUGCCAUGGUAUAGGCUAUGUGAUGAUAUGGGAUCAUGGGACUACAAGCGAUUGAAAUUGGAAUUUCACCAGAAGUUUUAUCCUAUGCAUCUUGUUCAUUGUGAUCGUAAUUAUAUAUAUAAUUUUUGGCCUCCCAAAGGAUAA
rnacentral:rRNA from 1 species